AGUGAACGCUGGCGGUAGGCCUAACACAUGCAAGUCGAACGGCAGCACAGUAAGAGCUUGCUCUUACGGGUGGCGAGUGGCGGACGAGUGAGGAAUACAUCGGAAUCUACUUUUUCGUGGGGGAUAACGUAGGGAAACUUACGCUAAUACCGCAUACGACCUACGGGUGAAAGCAGGGGAUCUUCGGACCUUGCGCGAUUGAAUGAGCCGAUGUCGGAUUAGCUAGUUGGCGGGGUAAAGGCCCACCAAGGCGACGAUCCGUAGCUGGUCUGAGAGGAUGAUCAGCCACACUGGAACUGAGACACGGUCCAGACUCCUACGGGAGGCAGCAGUGGGGAAUAUUGGACAAUGGGCGCAAGCCUGAUCCAGCCAUACCGCGUGGGUGAAGAAGGCCUUCGGGUCGUAAAGCCCUUUUGUUGGGAAAGAAAAGCAGCAGGUUAAUACCCCGCUGUUCUGACGGUACCCAAAGAAUAAGCACCGGCUAACUUCGUG
rnacentral:rRNA from 1 species